AGCUAGUUGUAUUAACUAUUAGUUAAUACAAGAUCGACUAUGUCGACUAAAGUUCUAGGUAGAAUAAUGAUGAUGACAAUUUUCUACCUAUAUGUCUUGACCAAAUCUCGUGCCAGCAGUCGCGGUAAUACGUGAAAGACUAGUGUUAUUCAUCUUUAAUAGGUUUAAAGGGUACCUAGACGGUUUAUCUAGCCCAAAACAGGGUACGGAUUUUCUAGAGUUUUAUGUGAGGAGGGGAGUACUCAUAGAGUAAAGAUGAAAUUUUGUGAUACUAUGGGGAAACUGGUGGCGGCGAAAGCAACCUUCUAUGUAUAAACUGACGUUGAGGGACGAAGGCUUGGGUAGCAAAUAGGAUUAGAUACCCUAGUAGUCCAAGCAGACAAUUCUGAAUGCCAUAGAUUAGAUUUUUUUUUUGGUCUAUAAAUGAAAGUGUAAGCAUUCCACCUUAGGAGUAAUGUGGCAACACAGGAACUGAAAUCAUUAAACCGUUUCUGAAACCAGUAGUGAAGUAUGUUAUUUAAUUUGUUAGUCCUCAAAAAACCUUACCACAACUUGAAUAUUAUUUAAUUAAUACAAGCGUUGCACGGCUGUCUUCAGUUAAUGUCGUGAGAUUUUGGUUAACUCCCUCAAUUAACGUAAACCCUUACUUUA
rnacentral:rRNA from 1 species